AUAGCUAUGGCGGUACAUAUUCUAAAAUUGGAACGAUACAGACAUUAGCAUGGCCCCUGCACAAGGAUGACAAGCGAAUUCGUGAAGCAUUCCAUAUUUUU
rnacentral:snRNA from 1 species